AUGAUGGUAAUGUCAGAUGGCACAUCAUUCUCUUCAGGACAGAGCCUUCAUCUUCCCAGCCUUCCCAAUAACUCCCUGUCUUUUUCUGAAGUGAAGAAGAAAUCGUCUCAUGGGCCAAAGGACCCCACUAAGAUUCUGAACAUAAAUAGCAGCAGCAGCAGUAACAGUUUCUCAAAGACUCACAAGUUAGCAAAGGAGCACAAGGAAAAAAUUCCUAAAGACUCAAAAGAACAUAAAAGUGCCUUCAAAGAACCUUCCAGGGAACGCAACAAAUCUUCCAAAGAAUCAUCUAAGAAACCCAAAGAAAACAAACCACUUAGAGAUGAAAAAAUCGUUCCUAAGAUCGCUUUCAAGGAACCUAUGUCCAAGGAGCCCAAAUCUGAUAGCACCCACGUCCUUACCAUAACAGGUGGGCAGCAGCAAGAAAGGAAGACACUCGCUAAAAGGCUGUCUGUUCUGGAUUGUGAUGAACCUUCUGCUAAAAAACGAAAAAAAAGUAGCUCGGAUUUGUUAUUUAAAAGUUUUUCUAGCGCUCCACCUCUGGUUCUUACUUGUUCAGCUGACAAAAAACAGACAAAGGACAGACCUCCACUCAAGGUGGGCAAAGUCAAAAUUGAAAAUGAUGCACUGGAAAGGAAGGCACCUACUCUGCCACCAUUUGAUGAUAUUGUAGAUCCCAAUGAUUCUGAUGUGGAGGAAAAUAUGUCCUCCAAAUCUGAA